CUCGUGUGUUUCCUGAAUCUGAGGGAUUUGUCUUUUUUAUUCCUCUGAAUAUAUAUGGAUAUAAUGUUCAACUUGGACCGAGAGAUGCACAAGUUCUCUUAACCACAGCAGUGAUACAAUGGGGAAACUUCACUCAAAACAUGCUUGCAAACGUCGGGAAAAUCCUGAGGGGGAUAGUUUUGUUGCGAACGGCAUUAUUUCUAGAAGAGGAGUUGAAGGCGGCGAAAGAUAUGACACCAAUCUGAAAGAUUAUAAGGAGCUGAAGGACGGACAGAUGCAGGUCCACCGCUGCCCUCUACAGGGUG